CUGAACUGUCAACAUGGGUUGUUGCUGGCCCUCGAGUGGGGGCAUGUGCACGCUCUGUUUACACAUCCACUCACACCUGUGCACCCUCUGUAGUUCUAUGGCGUGGGGGGCCCUGCCCUCCUGCUGUGGUUCUAUGUCUUUACACACACACACACUGUGAUGAAGUCUCAUGGAAUGUACAUCGCGUUUAACGCAAUACAAUA
rnacentral:misc_RNA from 1 species